UAGUGACAGACAGAAAGACUAACGGCUUGUUGUCAUUUUAUACGGCUUCAACAAGACUUGAGGUAAGGUCCACAUGGAGAGGUAAACUUCAUGGCUAAAUUAACGAAAGCUCCAUAGAGAGGACACUGUAAGGGUUUGGUUUUGUAUCAGCGAGCCGAAUAUUAAGGAGGAAAUUAAGCUAAAAAGCAGUUUUCGGAGGUUUUUGGUUUCGCCUCUAUAUCUUUUUGUUUCUACGCAGCAAUUAUGCUAACCAUAUGUUCUCUAUUCGUUCAACGUUGCAAACGAUCUAGCAAAUAAGUGUUUUGUUUCCUGACAUUAUCAGCCCCCUCCCCCUCUCUGGUCCCUGCUUCUAGCUCCAUUUUGUGUGGCAACACAGAGCAGAGGUCCUCUGGGCUCCUGUCCGCCACAUGAGGGGUUCUGGACCUAACGCUCCAUCAAACCCGCAAUAAAUCCAGGGUGAAAGGUGAGUUUUUAUGAUGGCUGAAAACUGUUAGAGAACACAUCCUGUUUCCAUGAUGUCAAGGCAGGAAGCAAGAGCCACCUACAGGUUGCUGAUGAUUUGGAGGAUGAAUCUGGCUCUCUGGCUUACUCUGCUUUUCCCUGAUGGAAAAUCUCUGAUGGCGGCAAACCUACUAAGAUUCUUUGAAGCUGCUGUCAUUAUUUGGUGUGAACAAAAUUCAUUUCAGCAAACAAUUCUACUGUAGGUAAACCAACCUGAUCUAGGAAUAUGACUAUUCUAGUUGGGUGACAUAACUGUGCUCUCCUCUGUUGCUGUUUAUUGGCUCCAUGAAGAAGAGAGGAACAUGUCAGGAAGAGGAGUGGGAUAAGGUGCUCGAAAACUUCAUAUUUAUUAUUGUUACGCUACACUUCAAAAAGACAAAUUGACUUGAGGGAUAAUAAUAUAAUCUAGAAUGUGUUGAUCUGACUUUCCAAGAGUGAAAAGCAGAGGACAUAUAAUCAUUAACAGCCAGCCUGUGCAUGUUCACAGGCUGUUUGUCUCCUCCCUCAACAUUCUCGUCCAAUUCACCCCAUUUCUCCCCAACCUUUGACCUCUGCAUGUCCACCCCUUCCCCCAGACACACACAGAGACAUGCUGCUCCUGACAUGCUGUUCUAACGCCAAGAGGCAGAAAUCCUUUCAUAAAUUUGUUUUGUUACAUGUAUGGAGAAAAAUGUUCUAUAUAGCAGUGAAGUAACUAAACACACAUUCUCUGCUUUCUCUGUAUUAUUAAUGAGACAACAGAGUAUAUUAACUUCAAGAUUCAGUCUUUUGGCAAAAAAAACCCAAACCUUUGAUAGUUUCAAGUUCCUAAAUUUAAAGUACAUGUUACUCAUGAGUAUGGUAUUUUUUACUAUAUAUUCAAUGCAUUCUACUGCUAGCAGCUACUAGUAUAUAAGUGACGUUGAAUCUGACUGUACGAUUGGAUUGAACUGACUUGUUUUGUAAAGUGCCUUGAGACAAUAUUUGUUGUGAACUGGUGUUAUAUAAAUGAACUGAAUUGAACUGAACUAGCUGUAGAGACAAUAUGGAGAUUAUAGUCAAGUAUGUUGAACUUCAGCUCUCUCAAUAGCCUGAACCUUAGAAACCUACAACUCUUAGGACACUGCCUGGAAAUGAGCCUUGACAAAUGUACUUCUUAUCCAUAUCACAGCUACUUUAUCUUUCCAUGCAUUGUUCAUAUGAAUUCUGACCUUUAUCUGUGCUACAUUUCCCUUCCUAAUGAAGUUCUUUAGAAAUAUUUCCUCAACAGCAUGUGUACAAUCACAGAUGCUUAAUGGUGAAAAAGCAGAAACCAAACCUGAACUGAGCUUUCAAGAGUAUGCAAUCUCUAUACAUUCCACUUUUGGUACUUUGAGGUUUGAAAAUAAUGUAAGUUCAUUGUAAUUUAUAGUUUCAAAUAAAGUUGUUCAUAGCU